CACACACACACACACACACUCCAGACAUGAGUGUCGGAGCAGCUUUGAGAGAAAUUCAAGAGCAGCCGAAAGAAACCAGGAGACGUGUUAAGAAGAAAGGAAUACGCUUUGACAUCAUGCUGGACGAGGAGGAGGAGGAGAAAGGAGGGAGCAGAGAAGAGGAGGAGAGGGAUGGAGAGAAGAAUAGAGAGAGGAGUAGAGAAGAGGAGGAAAGGGAUGGAGAGAAGAGAGAAGAGAGAGGAGAAGAGAAGAGGAGGAAAGGGAUGGAGAGAAGAGAAGAGAGAGGAGAAGAGAAGAGGAGGAAAGGGAUGGAGAGAAGAGAAGAGAGAGGAGCAGAGAAGAGGAGGAGAGGGAUGGAGAGAAGAGAAGAGAGAGGAGUAGAGAAGAGAAGAUGGUGGAAAAGAGGAGAGAAGAGGACGAGACGGAUGACGGGAGCAGAGAAGAGGAGAAGGACGAAGAGAGGAGAGAGGAGGAGAAGAAUGAAGAGAGGAGAGA